GCCAUUUUCGAGUGAUGCCUGAUCUCAUCAAUCUAGCGGGAGAGACAGGAUAACCUGUCCGAGAGUAUAGCGCCACUAUGACUCCGCCGGAAAAAUUACUUUAAAAAUCGCCAAAAAUUACUUGGAGCAAAGGGCAGUCGGCGGAGCUUCGCCAAGGCUGGCGCAGUCGGUUUUGACCUGUAGCAGAGAACCAAUUCUGGAGAACAGCCUCACUUCUUUGAUUGAAUACUUACAUAAUGCAUUGGAACAUGACAUGAGAUUAAGGUUUAAUAAUGAUAGAAUGAAGACCACAAUAAAAGAGACCUCUACUUAGCUCAGCAAUUCUUACCUUUCAUUUCAUGUUUUUCCCUUGAUGUGAAGUCUUACCUAUUUGAUGAAGAUGUCUUUUGAAAGGUGUACUGCAAGGAACAAAAUGUUUGUAAAUUCUCCUUUUACCAAGGUGGAUAAUUACUGUACCUUCCUCAUGGAAAAAGUUUUAUUUAAAGUGUUAUUUCUCAUUGAAUACUAUCAAAAAGGAAAAAAAAAUGACCUAAACUUUUGAGAUAGAUUUGGCUCUAGUAAGUAUUUAGUUAUAUCACUUGCAUAUCUGGGAGAAGAAAUAAGAGACUAUCAUCAGUACAUUCCCAUCUACUAAAAAAAUUUAUUUUACACAUGUCAAGGGAUUACUUAUAACUUCCAUUUUAUUACUAAUAGCUUGAACCCUUUUAAUGAAGACCUAACUCCUCCACCAGAAAUUUAAGUUUAUGUUCUUACUUUGUUUACUUAUAAAAUACAUCUCAGGUAUUUCGGAUGUCUUUUUUUUUUCUAAGCCUAUAUGAAAUGAAAAAUAUAUUGGCAAAAUAAAUGUUUAAACCUUUUACGUUAAAAUUACUUUGAAAGAUGAAAAGUUAGUGCUGUUUUUGUCUACGUUAUACUGAAAUUAAAUGUUUAUAAUUUAUAUUUUGGGUUUAUGUAUAAAUCAUGGAAUUUAUGCAAAAAUAUGAGUAGUACAGAUUCUCCUCUAAUUCUGUAGGACUUUGAAUAAUGUGAUAUUUUUCUUAUAAUUGGACCCUUGUGUUUUGAAGAAAUGCCAACUGCUUGAAGAAUCUCCUUGUUAUUUGUAUUAUUUGCUAUAGGGUUAGAUGUUGAGAAAUUCUGCUGACAAAAAAUUUUAAGCCAGUUUUACACUAAAUGUUCCUCAGUCUGAUUAAUUUGUUAUUGGAUGUAUUCUGUAUCUUUCUUUUGUAAUUUGUAACUUUUAUCCACUUAGCACGAAUGAUUCUAUUAAAGAAAAUCAUUAGGAAGUGGUAGAAAC
rnacentral:lncRNA from 10 species